rnacentral:misc_RNA from 1 species
UGAACAAUUUUCACCAGUAAUGCUAAAUGCUUAUUAUUGGCAGCAGCUAGGCAUUGGUAAUAUAAGUGAUGAUGAGAUUCAUGGUGAUGGUGGUGAAGUUGAAUCCAGAGGAUUGUCAGGAGAUUCACUGAAGAAAUUGCCAUGUCAUACCUUGGAUGAAAUCAAGGCAAAACAGACCAUCUGCUGUACAAUAUGCUUGCAGGAUAUCGGAAAAGGGGAAAUGGCAAGGAGUUUACCCCG